CCUACGGGUGGCAGCAGUGGGGAAUAUUGCACAAUGGGGGAAACCCUGAUGCAGCGACGCCGCGUGAGUGAAGAAGUAAUUCGUUACGUAAAGCUCUAUCAGCAGGGAAGAAAAUGACGGUACCUGAGUAAGAAGCCCCGGCUAACUACGUGCCAGCAGCCGCGGUAAUACGGAGGAUGCGAGCGUUAUCCGGAUUUAUUGGGUUUAAAGGGUGCGCAGGCGGAAGAUCAAGUCAGCGGUAAAAUUGAGAGGCUCAACCUCUUCGAGCCGUUGAGACUGGUUUUCUUGAGUGAGCGAGAAGUAUGCGGAAUGCGUGGUGUAGCGGUGAAAUGCAUAGAUAUCACGCAGAACUCCGAUUGCGAAGGCAGCAUACCGGCGCCCAACUGACGCUGAAGCACGAAAGCGUAGGUAUCGAACAGGAUUAGAUACCCGUGUAGUC
rnacentral:rRNA from 1 species